UCUUUCUUUUUUUUUCCUCUUCUCCUUUCCUUUUCUUUCCUUCUUUUUCUUUCUUUCCUCUCCUUUCCUUUUCCUUCUUUUUCUUUCUUCCUUUCUUUCUUCUUCUUCCCCUCUCCUUCUUCCCCCCACCAACCGACCACCCUUAAUAUUUAAGGUGGUGCCGCCAACAAGGAAUCCUUGUUUGGUGCCGCCAACAAGGUUUCCUUGUUUGGUGCCGCCAACAGUGUUCCCUUGACCAAGGGAACUGUCAAAUCGGUCCAAAUUUUUUUUUUUUGGUUUUUUU
rnacentral:lncRNA from 1 species